rnacentral:rRNA from 1 species
GACGAACGCUGGCGGCGUGCUUAACACAUGCAAGUCGAACGGAAAGGCCCUGCUUUUGUGGGGUGCUCGAGUGGCGAACGGGUGAGUAACACGUGAGUAACCUGCCCUUGACUUUGGGAUAACUUCAGGAAACUGGGGCUAAUACCAGAUAGGAGCUCCUGCUGCAUGGUGGGGGUUGGAAAGUUUCGGCGGUUGGGGAUGGACUCGCGGCUUAUCAGCUUGUUGGUGGGGUAGUGGCUUACCAAGGCUUUGACGGGUAGCCGGCCUGAGAGGGUGACCGGCCCCAUUGGGACUGAGAUACGGCCCAGACUCCUACGGGAGGCAGCAGUGGGGAAUAUUGCACAAUGGGCGGAAGCCUGAUGCAGCAACGCCGCGUGGGGGAUGACGGCCUUCGGGUUGUAAACCGCUUUCGCCUGUGACGAAGCGUGAGUGACGGUAAUGGGUAAAGAAGCACCGGCUAACUACGUG